GAACUGAAGAGUUUGAUCAUGGCUCAGAUUGAACGCUGGCGGCAGGCCUAACACAUGCAAGUCGAGCGGAUGAAGGGAGCUUGCUCCUGGAUUCAGCGGCGGACGGGUGAGUAAUGCCUAGGAAUCUGCCUGGUAGUGGGGGAUAACGUCCGGAAACGGGCGCUAAUACCGCAUACGUCCUGAGGGAGAAAGUGGGGGAUCUUCGGACCUCACGCUAUCAGAUGAGCCUAGGUCGGAUUAGCUAGUUGGUGGGGUAAAGGCCUACCAAGGCGACGAUCCGUAACUGGUCUGAGAGGAUGAUCAGUCACACUGGAACUGAGACACGGUC
rnacentral:rRNA from 1 species